rnacentral:rRNA from 4 species
UUUAAUGUUUGAUGUUCUAACGUGGACCCGUAAUCCGGGUUGCGGACAGUGUCUGGUGGGUAGUUUGACUGGGGCGGUCUCCUCCUAAAGAGUAACGGAGGAGCACGAAGGUUGGCUAAUCCUGGUCGGACAUCAGGAGGUUAGUGCAAUGGCAUAAGCCAGCUUGACUGCGAGCGUGACGGCGCGAGCAGGUGCGAAAGCAGGUCAUAGUGAUCCGGUGGUUCUGAAUGGAAGGGCCAUCGCUCAACGGAUAAAAGGUACUCCGGGGAUAACAGGCUGAUACCGCCCAAGAGUUCAUAUCGACGGCGGUGUUUGGCACCUCGAUGUCGGCUCAUCACAUCCUGGGGCUGAAGUAGGUCCCAAGGGUAUGGCUGUUCGCCAUUUAAAGUGGUACGCGAGCUGGGUUUAGAACGUCGUGAGACAGUUCGGUCCCUAUCUGCCGUGGGCGCUGGAGAACUGAGGGGGGCUGCUCCUAGUACGAGAGGACCGGAGUGGACGCAUCACUGGUGUUCGGGUUGUCAUGCCAAUGGCACUGCCCGGUAGCUAAAUGCGGAAGAGAUAAGUGCUGAAAGCAUCUAAGCACGAAACUUGCCCCGA